AACGAACGCUGGCGGCAUGCCUAACACAUGCAAGUCGAACGAAGUCUUCGGACUUAGUGGCGCACGGGUGCGUAACGCGUGGGAAUCUGCCCUUGGGUGCGGAAUAACUUCUCGAAAGGGAUGCUAAUACCGCAUAAUGUCGUAAGACCAAAGAUUUAUCGCCCAAGGAUGAGCCCGCGUAAGAUUAGCUAGUUGGUGGGGUAAAAGCCUACCAAGGCGACGAUCUUUAGCUGGUCUGAGAGGAUGAUCAGCCACACUGGGACUGAGACACGGCCCAGACUCCUACGGGAGGCAGCAGUGGGGAAUAUUGCGCAAUGGGCGAAAGCCUGACGCAGCGACGCCGCGUGGGUGAUGAAGGCC
rnacentral:rRNA from 1 species